AUCUUUUUAGGCCACCCAUGGCAUAUGGAGGUUCCCAAGCUAGGGGUCUAAUGGGAGCUAAAAGGCAGAAACACACACACACACACAAAAACAAACAAAAGAAACCAAUUUCAAAUUGUAGGAAACACUGUGUGCAGGAAGUGAAUCUAAUUUAUUUGUUUAAAUUGUUAUUAUAGCACCUGCCAUGCAACAGGGGCUUGUUUGGCCCAUUUAUACAUUUAUCCAUCAAAUAUCGAUCUAGUGCACUCACUGCAUGUCAGGCAAUGAACCAGCUACUGAGGAUAUAACAGUGAAUAAUAUCCUAAAGGUCCUGCUAUCACUGAACUUACUUUCAAUAAGAAAUGACAAACAAACAAACAAAAAAUCCUAAAUAAGAUAAAUAGAUUUAUAAGAUAAAUUUCUUAUGAAUAUAUUUAUAUAUACACAGGGUAAUUUCAAAGAAGAUCAUUUCAGAUGGCUGUAAGCGAUAUAAAGGAAUUAAAAAGAAAAAUGAUACAAGAAGAAAUAAGUAAAAGGGGCAGACAUGGAUGGAUGAUCAGAGAAGAUUGACACUGAAGAAGCAAUGUUUGAACUGAGAUCUAAGGGCCAAGAUAAAACCCACCACAGGAGAAUACAUGGUAGAGAAAGGUAAGGCUGAUGAGGGAUUCCUGAAAGUCUAGAGGGACAGAGGGAUAAAAGUGAGUAAGGGUCACCUAGGACCUCAGAGGCCAUGAUCAAGUGUUGAGGUUUUAUUCUGAGUGACAUGAGAAGCUGGAGGAUUUUGAACAGCAGAAUGCUAAACAGUAACCUAUGUUUCUAAAAGAUUCAUCAAGAGCUCCCAUCAUGGCUCAGCAGGAAUGAAUCUGACUAGCUUCCAUGAGGACGCAGGUUCAACCCCUGGCCUCACUCAGUGGGCUAAAUGAUCUAGUGUUGCCAUUAGCUGGGAUGUAGGUCACAUAUGCGGCUUGGAUCUGGCAUUGCUGUGGCUAUGGUGUAGGCCAGCAGCUACAGCUCCUGAUUCGACCCCUAGCCUGGGAACCUCCAUGUGCCAUGAGUAUGGCCCUAAAAAGACAAAAAAAUAAAAGGUUUCUUUCCUUAAAAAAGACACAUGCACCUACAUGUUCACUGCAGCCCUAUCCACAAUCGCCAAGACAUGAAAACAACCCAACUGUCCAUCAACAGAUGACUGGAUUGGGAAGAUGUGGUAUAUAUACAUAAUGGAAUACUACUCGGCCAUAAAAAAGAAUGAAAUAAUGCCAUUUGCAGCAACAUGGAUGGAACUAGAGACUCUCGUCCUGAGUGAAGUAAGUCAGAAAGAGAAAGACACCCAUAUGAUAUCACUUAUAUCUGGAAUCUAAGGUAAGGCACAAAUGAACCUUUCCACAGAAAAGAAAAUCAUGGAUUUUCCUAAUAGACUUGUGGUUGCCAAGGGGAAGGGGGAGGGAGUGGGUGGUUGGGGAGCUUGGGGUUAAUAGAUACAAACUAUUGCCUUUGGAAUGUAUAAGCAAUGAGAUCCUGCUGUGAAGCACUGAGAAUGAUGUCUGGUCACUUAUGAUGAAACAUGAUAAUGUACGAAAAUAGAAUGUGUACAUGUAUGUAUAACUGGGUCACCAUGCUGUACAGGAGAAAAAAUUGUGGGGAAAUAACUAUUAAAAUAAUAAUAAUAAUAAAAUGAAAGGUUCGUCAUAUUGCCUGACAUAUGCAGAAUGACAAAACUAUCACCACAAUGAAAACUAGUGAAUCCUGUGUCCCCACCUCAUUGUUUAUGUCAUCAAUUACAUUUCUAGGACUAUUAAAAGAGGCAAAAGCACACAAUGAAAGCACUGUGAAAGCAGUGUCAGUAGAUCAAUGAAGCCAAAUAGCUACUGGAUUUGGGUCCCUACCUCUGUUCAAGGACAGAGACAAGGCUGAUCUAUAAGGAAACACAGCACACUUUGCACAUGCUCCAAAUGUAUGUGGGGGAGUCACAUCAGCAAGCUACCAGAAUAAGAGAUACCAAUCUCUGUCCCCUCACUCACCCCAUAAAAUUAUGUAGCUACUCAUGAACAGAAGUAGUCCUUAGAGGGCCCAAGAAUCCAAUUAAGAAAAGAGUGAAGCAAGAAAAAAAAGAAAGGAAGGAAGGAAGAAAGAAAGAGAACGAAAAAGAAAAUAGUGGGAGCUUUCAGCAUCAAACAGAAAACUGGUGCCAUCAUGGUCCCCAGUGGCAUGCUCUGCAAAAGAUACUGGCAGCCUUUAAAGAUAAAGACUUCAACAGCCUCCAGAAUAGCAGCAGAUCCCCAGAGAGAGGCCCUGAUAUUCACCUUCCAGAAGGAGCUGCUGCUGUAUUUUCCCAGAAACAGGUGAAACUGCCUUCCAUCACACCACCACACAUGCCUCAAACUCUGCAAAGUUCCAUAUGGACCCACACUUCAAACCCAAGCUCCACAGGCAGUCCGUGUGUAUCUGCAUCUAAGGCACCAGAGCUGCCACUGCCCUGUGACAGCCAGAACCCCAGACCCUGGAAGUGCAGUGGCUCAAAAAGCAUCUGCACUCCAGAAUCUGCAUCCAUGGCUGCUCCAUGGAAAUCUGCACAUCAGACACUAGUAGCAUGGCUGCCAAAAACUCACCUGCAAGCUGAACCCGGCACAAAGAGGGUCCACUCAGCCACAACAACCCCAAGAAGAAAAAAGAGAUAAGGAGAUCCUCAGAAGUCUUCACCACUGAAGACCCCAAAAGACCUCACUGCCGCUGGGACACUCCCAAGCUUGGCCAAUGAGGCCUAUUGUUCUCUCCCCCAAUGCUUGCCUGGCUGAUAAGGCCUCAAAGAAAUUAUACCACUGGGCUUUUCCCGGAGCCAGAACUACCACAUCCCUACCCAGAAAGUUGCCCUUGUACCUUCCCACAGGUCAAAAUACUUCCCUAUUAAAACCAAUCCGUAAGGAUAGAAAAGGCGACUGUUCCAUCAAAUAUACAAAAAGUAACCUAUUUCUGCUUGUGACAAAAAACACAAAAUAUACACACUCACACAAAAAUCAAGGAAACAUAACUAUCAAAGGCACACAAUAAGAUCCCAAUAACUGACACCCUCAAAAUGAUGAUCUACAAAUUGCAGAGAAUUAAAAACAUUUACUGAAAGGAAGCUCAAUGACUUAGAAGAGAACAUACAUAGAUGACUCAAUAAAAUUAGAAAAAAAUAUAGAAACAAAAUGAGAAGUUCAAUAGAAAUAAGCAUUAAAAAAAAACCAAUAGAGAGCAGCAACAG
rnacentral:lncRNA from 1 species